rnacentral:piRNA from 1 species
UAGACUUCUUCUCAUGUGUUACCCUUCUGC